rnacentral:rRNA from 1 species
UACGAAGGGGGCUAGCGUUGCUCGGAAUCACUGGGCGUAAAGCGCACGUAGGCGGCUUCUUAAGUCAGGGGUGAAAUCCUGGAGCUCAACUCCAGAACUGCCCUUGAUACUGAGGAGCUCAAGUCCGGAAGAGGUGAGUGGAACUCCGAGUGUAGAGGUGAAAUUCGUAGAUAUUCGGAAGAACACCAGUGGCGAAGGGCGCUCACUGGUCCGGUACUGACGCUGAGGCGCGAAAGCCAGGGGAGCGGAACGGG